rnacentral:tRNA from 1 species
GGACAGUUGCCUGAAAGGUUAAAGGAGCAGUUUGCUAAACUGUGAGCGGUUACACGCUUUAUCGGUUCGAGUCCGAUACUGUCCG